rnacentral:lncRNA from 1 species
UGAUAAUUUUAAUGGUUUAUCUAAGGUGGCAACUUAAACACACAUCUGGGUGGAUUGAGGCACCUCAUGUCUAUCAGGACUUGCCUGUUUUUUUUUUGGACCGCCACCCAGGCUCAAAGGGAUCAUAAGAUCUUUCAUGCUAAAUACUUACGUGUGCAGCCACAAGCCAUUAUGGGCUCUGGCAUAGUUGACUAAGUCAUGCGAACUCUUAUAGGGGUAGACUAGCAGAUGUAGGGGUUGUAGGUGGUACGGUCUACUCCAUCGUAAGGUGCUAGCGCUUCUGAAAGACUAUGUCUCGGUCAUCCGUUUUUCAAACACCAUGUAGUGCGAGAAACCAAACGGAGGCGAUCGAGUCUUGUGGGGAAAAGUGCGCAAACCUCUGCAGAGUGUACAAACUAAUCAUGAUUAGCUGUGUCCCCGGUUAUGGACAACUUGAGUAUCUAGUACUUGAAUAUCAUGUGAAUCUCGACAUGUUACUUCUAAUUAAUGUUAUUGGGUUUUAAUUAUUUUAAUUGGGAUUGAGAAUGCUGUCAACCAUUCUCAAUGUUUCACAACCACCAUGAUAGUUAAAUAAACUUAUUCCUUUGCAGUAGGGAAAAACUGGCUUUACGCAAAACUGUACCAUAGAGCUUUCCACCAGCCAUAUAUGCAUAUAGUAUAGCUGUUUCAUUCCAUUACUCUCUAUGUGUUACAUUGCCAGCAUAUUCCAUGUGCUGGCCCGUUUUCGGGCUGCAACUUCUCAUGUUGCAGACUUUUCAGACGAUGAGUAAGGAGUUUUUAGGUCGUGGUUCUAUACCCAGUGACGCCGCUGGAGUUGAUGGACCCAUUUAUCUGCCAAGUCUUCCGCUGUUAUCGACACUAGAUGGCCUUAAGCCAUGUUUAUUGUAAUAAGUUCUCUUUAAGACAACAAUGUAAUAAGUGUGUGAUUGCCACUCUGCUAUAAAUCCUUCGAUGUACUGUGUGGUGUCAGCAUUACUGAUCCAGGGAUGACACCUGAGAACAGAGCGCUUGAUCCAUUCGGAUCGGGUCGCGACAGAGAUGGUAUCAGAGCACACGCUGACUGUAGGACACGACCACUAAGUUAAAGCCAUAGGUCACCAUUCUCUUCUCAUUUUCUAACUUCUUAUCUUUUCUACUCUAUUAGGAUGAAGAACGCGAAGAUUAAGUACGCUCAACCGGAUGAAGGCACACCAUUUGGAUUUCACCUGAAGGAAGUCACCAAGUACCUGAACAUUGGAUUACCAAGCUUCACGGGAACCAUCAACGCCACUCUGCCUGAAGAGGAGCGCUAGAAGAUUCAAGCUCACGUUCUGGGAAGGACAUUCGCGCCAAUCACGAAACCCAUAGAUAGUGUUUCCGAUGCACCAACCUGGAGUCUGGGAAGGAGCAUGGCAGCUCAUAUCACCAUAGGACGCAUUGGAGAAGUUUACCAAGAAGACCUCAAGGACACUAUCUACCAGAUUUGCGCACGCCGAGAUGAACAAUGGGAGUUAGUCAGCACCAAGAAGGAUAGAUCCAUUCCAUCGUUCAUCCAGGAGUUAAACCAGCACAUUCGACGCCACGAGAACCAGAUGUGCAAUGAUAUGGUAGAGUUGAAGAAUGCGAAGGCAAGGAUCAUCGAGCUAGAAGGAGAACUGAAGUCUACACGCAAGGACUACAUGGACGAGAUCAUAGCUCUAGCAAGACACAACGUCGAUCUUAAGCAGGAGAUUGAAGAACUCAAGAGGAAGUUAGGAUCCAAGGAGGAAGACAAGUACGUCGCAUGUCCGGACAACUACAUCAUCAUUGACGACACCGAUUCGGAUCCAAGUGAACCUGACUUUGAAGACGAAGCUGGAGCAGAUAUCAUGGAGUCUUCCACCGGUUCAAAUUUCUAGAUGACCACCAAAUAGUAGUAGUAUUCCCCCAUGUAAACAUUAUAGUCGAGCACUUUUGCGAUAGUUAGACCGUUUGUAAGCCCUUGUUUGAUUGAUUGAAGUGAAUUGUGUGUUUUUGCUCAUGUGCAUAUGGGUAGUGUUUUCCCUUUAGACCCCCUCUAUUCUCAAUUCUCGUCUUUUCUAAACCCUCAAAUGCCUCCGAGACAUGACCCCGGAUCUACCAUUAAGGAUUGGUAACUAUGUGUUUCCCUCAGACCUAAUAGUAUUGGAAUCACAAGGAUUGGAUGUGAUAUUAGGCAUGGAUUGGUUAUCAAAGUAUGAAGGGAAUAUUGAGUGUGCUAGUAAGUCAAUUUUUCUUACCACACCAGAAGGAAGAAGGAUCAAGUAUGUAUCCCGGCAUGUGCCAAACAGGACACAAGUAAACUGCCUAACAGGAGUUGUGCAGGAGGAAGUACCAAUGGUAAAGGAUUAUCCUCAUGUAUUUCCUGAGGAAUUGCCAGGCAUGCCACCGGAUAGAGACAUUGAGUUUUUGAUUGAGUUAUUGCCAGGUACAGGCCCAAUAUCAAAGCGACCAUACCGGAUGCCAGCAAAGGAUUUGGUGGAAAUUAAGAAUCAAAUUAAGGAGUUAUUGGAUAAAGGUUACAUUCGCCCAAGUUCUUCGCCUUGGGGAUCACCUGUACUUCUAGUGCAAAAGAAGGAUGGAUCAUUAAGGAUGGUUGUAGAUUAUCAGGGAUUGAAUGAAGUAACCAUCAAGAAUAAGUAGCCACUGCCAAUGAUCAACGAUCUGUUUGAUCGGUUGCAAGGAGCUAAAGUGUUUUCCAAGAUCGAUUUGCGAUCAGGGUACCAUCAGUUGAAAAUUCAAGAGCAGGACAUACCUAAGACAUCAUUCACCACGAGAUAUGGACUGUAUGAGUAUACCGUUAUGUCAUUUGGAUUGACUAACGCACCGGCCUAUUUUAUGAACCUGAUGAACAAAGUGUUUAUGGAUUUUUUGGAUAAGUUCAUCGUAGUGUUCAUUGAUGACAUCCUGGUGUAUUCGAAGAAUGAAGAGGAGCAUAAGGAACAUUUGCGUUUGGUUUUGGAGAAACUAAGGGAACAUCAGUUAUACGCCAAAUUCAGCAAAUGUGAGUUUUGGUUAAAGGAAGUUGGAUUCCUCGGACACGUUAUAUCCGGAGAAGGUAUGUCAGUUGACCCCACUAAGGUUGAGACCGUAACUGAAUGGGAAUCCCCAACGAUAGUUGGAGAGAUCCGGAGUUUUCUUGGACUCGCAGGAUACUACCGGAGAUUCAUUGAGAACUUUUCAAAGAUUGCAAAGCCUAUGACUGAAUUGUUGAAGAAGGACACUAAGUUCAAAUGGACUGAGGAGUGUGAGGCUAGUUUCCAGGAGUUGAAGAAACGUUUGGUUACCUCACCAGUAUUGAUUUUGCCAGAUCAGACCAAGGAUUAUGAGGUGUAUUGCGACGCUUCACGUCGAGGACUUGGAGCAGUGCUUAUGCAGGAAGGAAGAGUUGUUUCGUAUGCUUCACGACAACUGAAGCCUCAUGAGUUGAAUUAUGCCACGCAUGAUUUGGAGUUAGCAGCCGUAGUGCAUGCAUUGAAGACGUGGAGACAUUUCCUCAUUGGAAAUCAUUGUGAUGUGUACACAGAUCACAAGAGUUUGAAGUACAUUUUCACGCAGAAGGAGUUGAAUCUUAGACAAAGGAGAUGGUUGGAGCUCAUCAAGGAUUAUGAUAUGAGAUUGCAUUACCAUCCCGGAAAAGCUAAUGUAGUAGCUGACGCAUUGAGCCGUAAGAGCCAUGUCAACACCCUAGUGACGGGAGAAGUACCAAAGGAGUUAGCAGAAAACCUUCGUGAGCUAUGUUUGGAAAUAGUUCCGAGAGGCUAUGUAGCAGCAUUGGAGAUUCAGUCAACAUUGAUGGAUAAGAUCAGAGAAGCUCAGAAAUCUGACAAGGAAAUUGCUGCUAUAAAAGAGAAAUUGAGCGAAGGAAAAGCAAAGGGAUUUCGUGAGGAUGAGCACGAUACCCUAUGGUUUGAGGACCGUGUUUAUGUGCCCAAUGACCGGGAGAUCAGGAAGUUGAUUUUGCAAGAGGCACAUGAUUUGCCGUAUUCGAUUCACCCAGGGAAUACCAAGAUGUAUUUGGAUUUGAAAGAAACAUUCUGGUGGACCGGAAUGAAGAAGGAUAUUGCAGCAUAUGUAGCGGUUUGUGACGUAUGUCAGAGAGUAAAGGCAGAGCAUCAGAAGCCAGCAGGAUUGUUACAACCAUUGCCGAUACCCGAAUGGAAGUGGGAUAAGAUAGGCAUGGAUUUUAUCACAGGACUACCCAGGACGAAAGCAGGCUACGAUUCGAUAUGGGUAGUAGUGGAUCGUUUGACGAAGGUAGCGCAUUUCAUUCCAGUUAAGACCACUUACACCAGUGUUAAGUUGGCGAAGAUAUACAUGACUAGAAUCGUUUGUUUGCAUGGAGUUUCGAGGAGUAUCGUAUUAGAUAAUAGUUUCGUCCCAUGACAACAGUUACGAAGUUGGAGACCGUCAAUUCUUUGGACCAGAUUUGAUUAAGGAGUCUGAACGGAAGGUUAAGUUGAUUCGCGAUAGGCUCAAGGUAGCCCAGUCUAGGCGGAAGAGCUACGCAGAUUCAAAACGCAAGGAGACAGUUUACGAAACCGGAGACAGAGUUUAUCUUCGACUAUCCCCACUUCGAGGAGUUAAGUGCUUUGGAGUUAAGGGAAAGUUAGCACCGCGUUUCGUUAGACCGUAUAAGAUUUUGCAACGUAUGGGAGAAGUCGCUUAUAAGUUGGAAUUACCAGAGGGAUUGUCAGGAGUUCAUGACGUAUUCCAUGUUUCUCAGCUGAAGAAAUGUCAUGCCGAGAUGGUGGAGGUACCGUUAAGAGAUACCGUACCACUUGAAGCGAUUCAGUUGAAGGAUGACUUAACGUAUGAGGAGAAGCCAGUCAAGAUUCUCGAGUUUGCCAGCAGAGUUACUCGCAGCAAGGUUAUCAAGUUUUGCAAAGUUCAGUGGAACCACCACUCAGAGGAUGAAGCCACCUGGGAGAGAGAAGAAGAUUUGCUCAAGGACCACCCUCACCUAUUUUCUAGCCAGCCCGAAUCUCGAGGGCGAGAUUCAUCUUAAGGGGGGUAGGUUUGUAACAUCCCAAAUUUGCAAUUUGGAAUGUUAUACAUAGAUCAUCAUGCAUAUCAUAUUUCUUGCAUUUUGGUUGAUCCUAGAAAUUUCACGCAACUCAAGGACCUUCGGAGAGAGUUGGAGAUUUCGUUAUUUUCCUAAUUGAGCUCUCUCAAAUUUUGGAAAAAGAGGAUCAUUUGAUUUAUUUAUUUUAUCUUCAAUUAUUUUUCUGGUGUCAAAAUAUAUGAGAGAGGGAAUAAUAUGAUUUUCCCAAAUUUAGGAAAAAUGAAGAUUUAAUAAAUAGAUCAAUUUGGUUUUGCCGGAGUUUAUUUGCAUUCUUUUGGAUAGGGAAAAAUGCGCGUUUUCAAAAAUUGCAUUUUAGGUCCGGAGUAAAGUUCAUUUUGUUCGGCUCAUUUUUAGGAGUCGGAGAAAAUUUACUUUAGAUUUUUCGGAGUUCGUUUAGUUCUCCUUUUUGUUUUUUUUCUGCGCACUGAACCGUUUUUUUUUAAAAGAGAGAGCCAGGCCAGCCGGGCCUAAAGCCCAGCCAGCCGGCCGGCCCCUCCCCUCGCGCGCGCGCAACCAGGCGCAGGCAGGCAGCCGCCUCGCCUCUUGCCUCAAGCCGAGUCCCAGUGGGACUUAGGCCGGCCCUUUCCUUGUUCCGUUUUCUUUUCAUUUUUCUACUAGGACUCUUUUCCUAAUCCUAGUCUAUUUCUUGUCCCCUACCCCAAGUCUCCUCACCCCUCCCCAAUAUAAAUACCCAAGCACCCCCCCCUCUAAACACAUCAAAUCAAAGCCGCAGCAAGCAGCAGCGCGCCACCCCACACACGCCGCCGCCGCACCUUGCCCACGCCGCCGCCCUACGCCACGCCGCUGGAGCCCCUCGCUGGAGACCUCGCUGGAGGUUGCCCCGCGUCUCUUUUCCUCGGAUCGUUUUCUUCUAAUUGUUCCGAUUCUUUUCUUCUCUUCCGAUUCGUUUUCUAGAUCGGUUUUCCGUUUCUUUUUCAGUUUUCUUCUCCAAAACCCUAGAUCGGAUUCGUUUUCUUCUCAGAUUUAGUUGCCUUUGGACCGUUAGCCGGACCGUUCGUCCUAACAAACGUGAUCACCGGAUUCUUCUAGGUUAACGACGCCCAUUCGUUUAACCGUUCUUCUUUUUCUUUCUGUCGGAUUUAUUCCGCGAUCGUGAUCUCAGAUCCGAUCUUCGUUUUAGUUUUUCUCCCCGCUCGUUUAUCGGAAUCAGGUGAUUCAAGCGCCUGGAGUUUCGUUUCGAAACCGCCGUUUCGUAUAAUCAACUUAAACAAGUUUUUGCCCCGGUAAAAUUUGACCUAGUUUCAACUUGCUAGAACCGAGUUGUUUUCUUCCGCCGUUUGUUUUCCGUUUCUUUGUUCGGAUCGUUCUUUCUUUGCAACCGGAGUUCUUAAGUUGAACUUUCUGGUUCGUUCUCUUGUUUGAGUUUUACCUGUGCAUUAGAUGAGUACUUAUUGUAUGCUUGUUGUUUGUCUGCGAUAGAUCACCCGGAUUGCGCCGCCUGUUACUUCGAUUCCCUAGGACUCGCGAAUCAUCAGCAAGGCAAGUAACACUUUGAUCAUACCUUUUCUACAACCCAUGUUUUAUUGCAUUAGAUCAAUCCUCUCACAUUUCAUGAUUAGGAUCUAAUUAAAUUGUGGGAUGGGAAGUAGAUGAGGUAGUACCUAUCACCUGUAUUAUUAUGAAACCUUUGGGAGUUACUUCUACGUUUGCUUAUUAUGCCAUGCUAUGCUAGUAGACGUGGAUUGGGUGAGUGAUAUCCAUGACAGAUGUGAGUUGAUAAUUUUAAUGGUUUAUCUAAGGUGGCAACUUAAACACACAUCUGGGUGGAUUGAGGCACCUGAUGUCUAUCAGGACUUGCCUGUUUUUUUGGACCGCCACCCAGGCUCAAAGGGAUCAUAAGAUCUUUCAUGCUAAAUACUUACGUGUGCAUCCACAAGCCAUUAUGGGCUCUGGCAUAGUUGACUAAGUCGUGCGAACUCUUAUAGGGGUAGACUAGCAGAUGUAGGGGUUGUAGGUGGUACGGUCUACUCCAUCGUAAGGUGCUAGCGCUUCUGAAAGACUAUGUCUCGGUCAUCCG